GCAAAAAAUCGGGACUCUCUUUCGAGAGCCCCAUCAUGGGAGAGGAGAAACCGGACGAAGAGCUUAUGGGGAAACGUAAGUCUUCUCCACGG
rfam:Paenibacillus pini JCM 16418 DNA, contig: contig00001.